rnacentral:rRNA from 1 species
UAAGCCAUGCGAGUCGAGAGAAUAAGAUUCUCGGCAUACCGCUCAGUAACACGUGGAUAACUGCCCUGUGCUGGGGGAUAACCUCGCGAAAGUGAGAACAAUACCCCAUGGGUCACUAUGCCUGGAACGGUUAGUGGCUGAAAGCUCCGGCGGCACAGGAUGGGUCUGCGGCGUAUCAGGUCGUAGGGGGUGUAACGUACCUCCUAGCCUUCGACGCGUACGGGUUGUGAGAGCAAUUGCCCGGAGAUGGAUUCUGAGACACGAAUCCAGGCCCUACGGGGCGCAGCAGGCGCGAAAACUUGACAAUGCGAGAAAUCGUGAUCAGGGGACUCCAGUUGGCUGGAUCAAAAGUCCAGUCUGAACCGACUUUAAAUCGGUCGGGUAAUAGGGGCGGGAAAGACCGGUGCCAGCCGCCGCGGUAAUACCGGCGCCCCAAGUGGUCGUCACUAUUAUUGGGCCUAAAACGUCCGUAGCCGGUUUGGUAAAUCCGUGGGUAAAUCAGACAGCCUAACUGUCUGAAUUCUGCGGGGACUGCCAGACUUGAGACCGGGAGAGGUGCGGGGUACUUGCGGGGUACCGGUAAAAUGGGAUCAUCCCGUAGAGACCACCUGUUGCGAAGGCGCCGCACUAGAACGGAUCUGACGGUCAGGGACGAAGCCUAGGGGCACGAACCGGAUUAGAUACCCGGGUAGUCCUAGGUGUAAACGCUGUGGACUUGGUGUCGGGGACCUUCUGAGGGUUUCCGGUGCCGGAGUGAAGAUGUUAAGUCCACUGCCUGGGGAGUACGGUCG